rfam:Nematostella vectensis strain CH2 x CH6 NEMVEscaffold_796_Cont33001, whole genome shotgun sequence.
UCCCAUAUGGUCAAGCGGUUAGGGUUUCUGGUUUUCACCCAGACGGCCCGGGUUCGACUCCCGGUAUGGGAA